rnacentral:rRNA from 1 species
UAGGGAAUCUUCGGCAAUGGACGAAAGUCUGACCGAGCAACGCCGCGUGAGUGAAGAAGGUUUUCGGAUCGUAAAACUCUGUUGUUAGAGAAGAACAAGGACGUUAGUAACUGAACGUCCCCUGACGGUAUCUAACCAGAAAGCCACGGCUAACUACGUGCCAGCAGCCGCGGUAAUACGUAGGUGGCAAGCGUUGUCCGGAUUUAUUGGGCGUAAAGCGAGCGCAGGCGGUUUCUUAAGUCUGAUGUGAAAGCCCCCGGCUCAACCGGAGAGGGUCAUUGGAAACUGGGAGACUUGAGUGCAGAAGAGGAGAGUGGAAUUCCAUGUGUAGCGGUGAAAUGCGUAGAUAUAUGGAGGAACACCAGUGGCGAAGGCGGCUCUCUGGUCUGUAACUGACGCUGAGGCUCGAAAGCGUGGGGAGCAAACAGG